AGUGAACGCUGGCGGCGUGCUUAACACAUGCAAGUCGAACGAGAACGGAUUAUAGCUUGCUAUAAUUGUCAGCUAAGUGGCGCACGGGUGAGUAAUGUAUAGGUAAUAUGCCUCUUACUAAGGGAUAACAAUUGGAAACGUUUGCUAAUACCUUAUACUCCUUAUUAACAGAAGUUAAUAAGGGAAAGAUUUAUUGGUAAGAGAUUAGCCUGUAUUGUAUCAGUUAGUUGGUGGGGUAAUGGCUUACCAAGACUAUGACACAUAACUGGUUUGAGAGGAUGAUCAGUCACACUGGAACUGAGACACGGUCCAGACUCCUACGGGAGACAGCAGUGGGGAAUAUUGCACAAUGGACGAAAGUCUGAUGCAGCAACGCCGCGUGGAGGAUGACACAUUUCGGUGCGUAAACUCCUUUUAUAUGAGAAGAUAAUGACGGUAUUAUAUGAAUAAGCACCGGCUAACUCCGUGCCAGCCGCCGCAGUAA
rnacentral:rRNA from 1 species